CAUCCAAGGAAGGCAGCAGGCACGCAAAUUACCCAAUCCCAGAGCUGGGAGGUAGUGACGAAAAAUAACGAUGCGGGCCUCUUCCGAGGCUGCGUAAUCGGAAUGAGCACAAUCUAAAUCCUUUAGCAACAAUCAAUUAGAGGGCAAGUCUGGUGCCAGCAGCCGCGGUAAUUCCAGCUCUAAUAGCGUAUAUUAAAGUUGUUGCGGUUAAAAAGUUCGUAGUCGGAUUUUUUGCUUGCCUUUUGGCUCCUGGAUUACCGCGAGGUUUCCAUUGGAGGCUUAGGGCGAGCGUUGGUCCAAUUAUGGAACUUUGUAGCUGCGGGGACGUGGGUGCUCUUGACCGAGUGUCCACGGCCUGUGGCGUUUUUACCUUGAACAAAUGAGAGUGCUUAAAGCAGGCGGUUUUAAAGCUAAAGCCUGAAUUUUACUGCAUGGAAUAAUGGAAGAUGGUUUAAGUUGUAUUUUGCCAGUUUAGGCAACUUGAAUAAUGAAUAAUAGAGACUGCCGGGGGCAUCCGUACUACGGGGCGAGAGGUGAAAUUCAAUGACCCUCGUAGGACGAACAGAAGCGAAAGCAUUUGCCAAGAAUGUUUUCAUUAAUCAAGAACGAAAGUUAGAGGAUCGAAGGCGAUCAGAUACCGCCCUAGUUCUAACCCUAAACGAUGCUGACCAGCAAUCCGCCUUUGUUAUUCCCAUGACGUGGCGGGGCGCCCCCGGGAAACCUCAAGUUUUUGAGUUCCGGGGGUAGUAUGGUUGCAAAACUGAAACUUAAAGGAAUUGACGGAAGGGCACCACCAGGAGUGGAGCCUGCGGCUUAAUUUGACUCAACACGGGGAAUCUCACCAGGCCCGGACACCAGAAGGAUUGACAGAUUAAGAGCUCUUUCUCAAUUGGGUGGGUGGUGGUGCAUGGCCGUUCUUAGUUGGUGGAGUGAUUUGUCUGGUUAAUUCCGGUAACGAACGAGACUCUGGCCUACUAAAUAGUGAAGGGUGGUUCUUUGGUGGGCCCCCUUGACACAAGUCUUCUUAGAGGGAAUAGCAGCGAGUCUAGCUGCAGGAGAUUGAGCAAUAACAGGUCUGUGAUGCCCUUAGAUGUCCUGGGCCGCACGCGCGCUACACUGAAUGGGUUAGCAGGUUCUCCUUGUCCGAAAGGAUUGGGAAAUCUUGAUAAAACCAUUCGUGCUAGGGCUUGUGCUUUGCAAUUGUAGUACAUAAACGAGGAAUUCCCAGUAAGCGCAAGUCAUGAGCUUGCGUUGAUUAAGUCCCUGCCCUUUGUACACACCGCCCGUCGCUACUACCGAUUGAAUGAUUUAGUGAGGUCUUCGGACUGGCGGUUUCGGAUUUGGUUGUGUUGUCCUUUCGGGGGCGGGCAGCUGCCGUUACGAGCCGGAAAGAUGACCAAACUUGAUCAUUUAGAGGAAGUAAAAGUCGUAACAAGGUUUCC
rnacentral:rRNA from 1 species